AGAGUUUGAUCAUGGCUCAGAUUGAACGCUGGCGGCAGGCCUAACACAUGCAAGUCGAACGGUAACAGGAAGCAGCUUGCUGCUUCGCUGACGAGUGGCGGACGGGUGAGUAAUGUCUGGGAAGCUGCCUGAUGGAGGGGGAUAACUACUGGAAACGGUAGCUAAUACCGCAUAACGUCGCAAGACCAAAGAGGGGGACCUUCGGGCCUCUUGCCAUCGGAUGUGCCCAGAUGGGAUUAGCUAGUAGGUGGGGUAACGGCUCACCUAGGCGACGAUCCCUAGCUGGUCUGAGAGGAUGACCAGCCACACUGGAACUGAGACACGGUCCAGACUCCUACGGGAGGCAGCAGUGGGGAAUAUUGCACAAUGGGCGCAAGCCUGAUGCAGCCAUGCCGCGUGUAUGAAGAAGGCCUUCGGGUUGUAAAGUACUUUCAGCGGGGAGGAAGGGAGUAAAGUUAAUACCUUUGCUCAUUGACGUUACCCGCAGAAGAAGCACCGGCUAACUCCGUGCCAGCAGCCGCGGUAAUACGGAGGGUGCAAGCGUUAAUCGGAAUUACUGGGCGUAAAGCGCACGCAGGCGGUUUGUUAAGUCAGAUGUGAAAUCCCCGGGCUCAACCUGGGAACUGCAUCUGAUACUGGCAAGCUUGAGUCUCGUAGAGGGGGGUAGAAUUCCAGGUGUAGCGGUGAAAUGCGUAGAGAUCUGGAGGAAUACCGGUGGCGAAGGCGGCCCCCUGGACGAAGACUGACGCUCAGGUGCGAAAGCGUGGGGAGCUAACAGGAUUAGAUACCCUGGUAGUCCACGCCGUAAACGAUGUCGACUUGGAGGUUGUGCCCUUGAGGCGUGGCUUCCGGAGCUAACGCGUUAAGUCGACCGCCUGGGGAGUACGGCCGCAAGGUUAAAACUCAAAUGAAUUGACGGGGGCCCGCACAAGCGGUGGAGCAUGUGGUUUAAUUCGAUGCAACGCGAAGAACCUUACCUGGUCUUGACAUCCACGGAAGUUUUCAGAGAUGAGAAUGUGCCUUCGGGAACCGUGAGACAGGUGCUGCAUGGCUGUCGUCAGCUCGUGUUGUGAAAUGUUGGGUUAAGUCCCGCAACGAGCGCAACCCUUAUCCUUUGUUGCCAGCGGUCCGGCCGGGAACUCAAAGGAGACUGCCAGUGAUAAACUGGAGGAAGGUGGGGAUGACGUCAAGUCAUCAUGGCCCUUACGACCAGGGCUACACACGUGCUACAAUGGCGCAUACAAAGAGAAGCGACCUCGCGAGAGCAAGCGGACCUCAUAAAGUGCGUCGUAGUCCGGAUUGGAGUCUGCAACUCGACUCCAUGAAGUCGGAAUCGCUAGUAAUCGUGGAUCAGAAUGCCACGGUGAAUACGUUCCCGGGCCUUGUACACACCGCCCGUCACACCAUGGGAGUGGGUUGCAAAAGAAGUAGGUAGCUUAACCUUCGGGAGGGCGCUUACCACUUUGUGAUUCAUGACUGGGGUGAAGUCGUAACAAGGUAACCGUAGGGGAACCUGCGGUUG
rnacentral:rRNA from 1 species